AACUUCACACUGCAAGUGAAAAUAAUUUCAGAACUUUAAUGCAAUGAGAUGAAGAAACUCCAAGCUAAACCCAUAAAAAUGAAAGAUUAAAAUUUAUAAACCUAGAAAGUUGAUUCACUUGGAAUCAAAUCCUUAGUAAAAAAAAUUUCAGUUAAUUACACCAUAAACCCAUAUGAACAAAAAAAAAAUUUAAAAAGAAUAAAUAAGAAAGAGGAACAAAUUAAUUACAGCAAGUGAUAAAAAAAGCUUUGAAAUGCAAUAAAUAGUAUCCUGAAAAUGAAUGUUUAACCAGAAAGAACAAAACUUAAUGCUUUACCUAUAGGGUUUUAUCCCUCCAAAACAAAGACUACUGGAAAUUAAAAACUUGUAUUAACAACUUGUAUAAAUGACUUUUCAAUGGAGAUGCAACUACGAAUUUUUUUUCGCCUUUCAGUUGUUAAUAUGAUCUCUUAUUUUAAAGAUGGAAAUGGAGACAAAAAAAAAGUUGUUGACCACACCUUUCACUACUUCUCAAAUUGCUCUACUACUGGUGUGAAAAGGCACAAUAAGUUCAUCUGCAUCCUGCAAAUCAACUUUCAAGAAGAAAGCACACCACCAAAAAUCAAAACCUAAUAAUAAAAAUAGAAAUUCUAGCACUGAAUAAUUCAACAUGUUCAGUUUACAUAAUUCAUAGCAAAAUCGACCAACUACAUGAAGUUGACAUGGAAUUACUAUGCAAGUACCGAACAACAACAAAAAAGUACUAUACUAUAUAAGCUUAUGUUUUAUUAGCAGCUAACAUUGAAGCUAAGACUAUGUUGCAGUCUAUUUGCUUGGCAUCUCUACUUUACUCUCCAAAACUCCAAGACUCCAUUAACGGCAAUUCAAAAAUCCACAACACUACCCUACUCCAUUCGAGCACAAACAAGUUGUUGUCUUUCUCAUCAAAACCAAUAAAUCUCUCACUACUCUUACUUUAUGGGUUAUCUUAUAUCUUGUUCAAUGUUCACCUAAUGAAUAUAAUUUGUGUCUCAGAAUUCUAGGUGCGUUGUUGAAAGUGUAGAGUUGGGUGAAUCUAUUUUUGUACCUGAGAUGUCGGUAGACACUGCUCCAUUAGUCUCUGUGAACGUGAUGUCCAACGAGAGUAUUAAGGAAGAAGAAAACAAUGGCAUGAUCCAUGCUCAAUCUGCUGAUGCUGUUGAAGAAGAAAACAAUGGUCUGUC
rnacentral:lncRNA from 1 species